rnacentral:rRNA from 1 species
AGAGUUUGAUCAUGGCUCAGAUUGAACGCUGGCGGCAUGCUUUACACAUGCAAGUCGAACGGUAACAGGUCUUCGGAUGCUGACGAGUGGCGAACGGGUGAGUAAUGUAUCGGAACGUGCCCAGUAGUGGGGGAUAACUACUCGAAAGAGUGGCUAAUACCGCAUGAGAACUGAGGUUGAAAGCGGGGGACCUUCGGGCCUCGCGCUACUGGAGCGGCCGAUAUCAGAUUAGGUAGUUGGUGGGGUAAAGGCCUACCAAGCCGACGAUCUGUAGCGGGUCUGAGAGGAUGAUCCGCAACACUGGGACUGAGACACGGCCCAGACUCCUACGGGAGGCAGCAGUGGGGAAUCUUAGACAAUGGGGGAAACCCUGAUCUAGCCAUGCCGCGUGAGUGAUGAAGGCCUUAGGGUCGUAAAGCUCUUUCGCUGGGGAAGAUAAUGACUGUACCCAGUAAAGAAACCCCGGCUAACUCCGUGCCAGCAGCCGCGGUAAUA